CCUACGGGUGGCAGCAGUGGGGAAUAUUGCGCAAUGGACGAAAGUCUGACGCAGCAACGCCGCGUGUGUGAAGAAGGCCUUCGGGUUGUAAAGCACUGUCAGUGGGGACGAAAAACCCUAGGUUCAUAGCCUAGGACUUGACGGUACCCACAAACGAAUAAGCACCGGCUAACUCCGUGCCAGCAGCCGCGGUAAUACGGAGGGUGCAAGCGUUAUCCGGAAUCAUUGGGUUUAAAGGGUCCGCAGGCGGACUUUCAAGUCAGUGGUGAAAUCUCACAGCUUAACUGUGAAACUGCCAUUGAAACUGUUAGUCUUGAAUUCGGUCGAAGUGGGCGGAAUAUGUCAUGUAGCGGUGAAAUGCUUAGAUAUGACAUAGAACACCGAUAGCGAAGGCAGCUCACUAGGCCUGGAUUGACGCUCAGGGACGAAAGCGUGGGGAG
rnacentral:rRNA from 1 species